rnacentral:rRNA from 1 species
GUUAGGAAUAUUGGACAAUGGGCGAAAGCCUGAUCCAGCCAUGCCGCGUGAACGAUGAAGGCCUUCGGGUUGUAAAGUUCUUUAGCCGAUGAUUAUAAUGACUGUAGUCGGAAAAUAAGCCCCGGCUAACUUCGUGCCAGCAGCCGCGGUAAUACGAAGGGGGCGAGCGUUAUUCGGAAUCACUGGGCGUAAAGCGUGCGUAGGCGGGUUUGUAAGUUAGGAGUGAAAGCCCAGGGCUCAACCUUGGAAUUGCUCUUAAAACUGCAAGGCUCGAAUCUCGGAGAGGAUAGCGGAAUUUCCAGUGUAGCAGUGAAAUGCGUAGAUAUUGGAAGGAACACCAGUGGCGUAAGCGGCUAUCUGGACGAGUAUUGACGCUGAGGCGCGAAAGCGUGGGGAUCAAACAGGAUUAGAUACCCCUGUAGUCC